AUAAAAUGCUGUCGUUUCCUAAAUCUAAUUUCUUUUUUAUUUUCUUUUUUUUUUAACCAAAACAAAGUAAAAGACACAAAAGGGUUUAAUGGAUUUGAUAAUUUACAGACCCAACCAUAAGAUAAACGGAUUAUCCACCCGAACCCAGUCAAAACGGAUCCUAUCCUAUUAAUUUAUUUUUAAAAAAAAAUAUCUUCCCCUUUUUCGUUAUCUAUCUUCCUCGUUCCUCUUCAAAUUUAAAUUCCUGUUUUAAAAUCCAACUAUCUGACCAGGAGGUGAAUGCGGUUGGUUCAAGCAGGAGUGCGCGACGAAGACUGAGAAGCUUGCUGGUCUUCUCGGGCAGGUUGCCCGCGCUAGUUCUGAUCUAUACGCUCACCGUAUUAUCACAGAUACUGGACAAGGCUUGUCUCCUUCGUCUUCAAGUGCCGAGCCAACUGCAUCAUGAAGCGCGUCUUCACCAUCAUCCCAUGUCUACUCAGUGACGUUUCUUGGUCUUCCUCUUAUCACCGCCAACGAGCGCAUCCUCUGCCUCAUCUAGGAGCAUAUUGCUCUUCUCCCGCUCCGAUGUCGCCGCUUCCCUCGUUUCUCUUGUCCGUGAUAGCGAUCGCUACACUAAGCUUAUCAUCGAUGGAAGUGUAGAACUAGAAGCUCAUCGGAGUUUUAGCUCACUUAUCUGUUCCAAUCAGCAGCUAAUAGGGUUCCUAACAAGUCGUGAGAUGUUCUGUUUCUCUCGAUAGAGAUACUCCCAUUGCUGAUUCCUUCUCUUCUCACCGGGACUUGGCUACUCAAAAGUAAUAUUUGUAUGGUCUUUGAUCCAUCACAGUGGGUGCAAAUUCCUUUCACGGAGGGAAGACUGAUGAGAUCCAAGAGCCAAAGUAGAAGCAUAAAAGAAAGGCUGAGACUUACAAGACUUUUGGGUUGCCAUAUUUUGAAUGUUUAUUAUGUAUCUCGGUUUUUCUUUUCAACUUAUGUAGGGUGAUAUUUAAGUCUUACUUUUGUUGAAUCCAUCUAUGAUGAUAUGUAAGAUUAUUUCUUGUU